AUGAUGGCACUACAAAAGAAAAGUCAGAGAUCGUGCCAGUAUAUGUGGAAAAUAAUCUAGAAGAUUCAGAUUCUUCUGAAGCAACACCAGAGAACGAGGAACAAGAACCAAUCAAGUCCGAGGCUACAGAAGUUCGUCGGUCAACUCGUAAGAGACGGCCACCAACAUGGCACUCAGAGUAUGUCACAAAGAUCAACGUUGCAUACUAUCUUCUAAUGGAGGAUGGAGAGCCAUUAACUUUCCAUGAAGCUUUAGAAAGCUCAGAUAUUGCUUUGUGGAUGACAGCAAUGCAGGAAGAAAUUGAAGCUCUACACAAGAACAAGACAUGGGAACUUAAGACAUGGGAACUUGUACAUAUGCUCAGAAAGAAAGCAUUGACUUCAACGAGAUAUUUUCGCCCGUGGUUCGACUCACAACAGUCAGAAUAGUCUUGACAAUGUGUGCUACAUUUGACCUACAUCUAGAGCAGUUAGAUGUGAAAACCACAUUUCUUCAUGGAAAACUUGAAGAAAAAAUAUAUAUGCUCCAACUAGAAGGUUUUGCAGAAACAGAAAAGGAGAACUUGGUUUGCAAGUUGAACAAAUCUCUAUACGAUUUCAAACAGGCGCCGAGGUGUUGGUAUAAGAGAUUUGAUUCUUUCAUUAUGAGCCUUGGAUACAAUAGGCUCAGUUCAGACCAUUGUGCAUAUUACAAGAAGUUUGAAGAUAAUGAUUUCAUCAUUUUGCUGUUGUAUGUGGAUGACAUGUUGGUAGCAGGUCCCAACAAAGAUCGAAUCCAAGAAUUGAAAGCACAAUUGGCUAGGGAGUUUGAAAUAAAGGGCUUGGGACCAGCAAAUAAGAUUCUAGGGAUGCAAAUUCACCGAGACAGAAUAAUAAGAAGAUUUGGCUUUCGCAGAAGAAUUACUUGAAGAAAAUCUUGCGACGCUUCAACAUGCAAGAUUGUAAGUCAAUUUCUACCCCACUUCCUGUUAAUUUCAAAUUAUCCUCAAGUAUGUGUCCUAGCAAUGAAGCGGAGAGGAAGGAGAUGUCUCGAGUACCGUAUGCAUCAGCAGUGGGAAGUUUAAUGUUCGCUAUGAUAUGUACAAGACCGGACAUUGCACAAGCAGUGGGAACAGUCAGUCGAUACACGGUUGAUUUUGUAGGUCAUACCAAAAAAGUUCCCAUAUAUCUAUAUCAUCUUCAUCUUCAGCAUAUUCACAAUUAUCCAUUAAAAUUUUGCCUCCGCUCUUUGAAUAAGCCAAUGGUUUCACAUAAUCGCCAACUCUCCGGGGAACAGAAAAAGCUUCUGUCCAAGAUUCCUUCAUUACCCACACAUUGACAGGUCGUGAAUGAUCAUACAAGCAACAGAAAUAGAGACGUCCACUAAGAGUACCCACAAACAUAACAAGUACUUCGUUUCUAUUCUCUAGAUGAGGCAGUGGCACUUCGUGAAAUUCCUCACUUUUUAGAUCAAACGCGACAAUCAGAUUUGCAAUAUCAUCUUCAGGAUUGUUCGUGACCAACCAAUGCACAUGACCAUCCGCAAAUGUACCAUUCCAAGGGCGUCGACUCUGAUCCGUCUCGAAGAAUUAGAUCUCAAACUAUAAACAUCAACUUCAGUAUAUUCGACACUUUCUCUGUCAAUAUCGGCUGCAUCUAGAAGCUGCAUCUAGAAGCUUUACAUAAACAAAGAAUGGUGGCACAUGGCUUUGAAGAUGGAACACGGUUUUCACCCACCAAGCUUUGAUGAACACGGUUUUGAAGAAGAUUUUGAUACCCACGGCUUUGACUUUCUUGGCCAUCAUUUUGCUAUAAAUACAAGUGCAAAUGAAGAGCUUAUUCAUUCCAUUUUUAGAGAGCAAUUUAGGGAGUUGAGGGAGAGUUCAAGAGCUUGCAUUUAUAAGCUCUUGUUAUAGUGAUUGAGAGAGUUUGGGUGUAUUGGGGUUUUUGGGAAGUGAGCUAAAAUACUACAAUACUUGUAACUCCUUUUCACUAGUAAAAUAUUUUCCUUCUGUCUUCGCCCGUGGAUGUAGGCUAAAAGCCAAACCACGUAAUUUCUGGUAUCCUCUAGUGUGCUUGUUCUUUAUUUUCUUCCAAUUUUAUUUUAGCUGCGUGUCUGCUUCACCCACCAAUUUCCUAACAUUCUCUACCAAAUUGUAUAAGUCUAACAACUUUGUAGUCAUCAUUAACAGCAUCAUAACCAAACCCAUCAAAAACCACAUAAACAUUAUCUUUCAAAUCACUCCAAAACUCGGGUAACAUUACAUGUUCCUUGGUUGCUGGAUUCCACAAAGCUAUGUCAUUUUCAUCAUUUUGCAGAGCAAUUAAUCCAUUGCAAGAAUCAAUCAUUAGAGUCUCUCCUUUGCAAUUCUUAAAAGGGUGAUCAAGUUCUAGACCAAGAUUCAAACAAUCCAAGCUUGCGGAGAAGAUUUUACCGUCCCAGUAACAUGAUGAGGGUAAGAUAGAAGCUGGUGUACCUGAAAGAAUGAGGCUGAGAUUGGAGUUGGUUUCAAUGGAGCGUUUGAGAUGGAUCUUAAUGAACUCCUGGCUGUCGAUUAAGCUACAGAAUGACUUCGACACGCACUUGAAGCGCAGCAGACACUUAACAGAUAGUCGGCUUAAUAUGUCCAUGUUUAUAUCCGUCGGAAGCUUCGCCAUUGUUAGACUGAUAACUGAAAUCUAGCGCUUGAUAUAACGAGCAAUUCAACACGUCUUCUGAACUCAGAUUCAACAGCAAAUAUCAUCAUGUGAGCUAACUUGAGAGAAAUCAAACCUUGCUUGUUAGCAAGCUGCGGGUUGAGUGCCGCAACUUGAGGAAUUAUCGAAAUGGAUCGUGUGUCACAGAAAUUAUCAUGUCGGUUGAGUUCUAUGAGAAAUAAAUGUUUAAAUCAGGCCUCUAGGUAAAAUGAGUUUCAACAUUAUCAAGUUUUCGAACCGUUAAGCAAUUAAACGCAUGAUACAGAAAACCUCUAUAAAAUAAAAUUGUUGGAAUGUAAAAGAAAAAAGAUUAUCUUAGCGAGAAUAUUUGUUUAUCCAUAAAUAAAUAAUUUAUUAAUUUAUCAGAAAAUAAAUGUUUGCUAAUUUAUGAAGAGUUUUAUAUUUAAAUUACUUGUGUCAUCUUAGUAUGUGUACUGCUCCUUUAACCAAGAUUUAUGUAUGAAUUUCAAAAGUUGUCAUGUAUAUCCAAAAGAUAUUAAUAAAUGUUAGAACAUCUACAUAGUAACCUAAAAAAUUAACGUAAGUACAUUAUAUGUAGACAUAAAAUUGACGCACAUACUUUUAAAAUUCAAUAGCCUAGAAGAUAAAAUAUUUCAGCUGUAUAAAGUUAUUGAACAUAAACCCAUUAAUACAUCGAUUUUUAGUAUCAAAUCAUUAGAUGCAUACUUUGGAAAAUAGUUUAAUUAAAAAAAUUGAGGUUGUCAAUAAAAAAACUUCUUAAUAAUAUGAAUUUUAUAUAUUAAAUAAAUUAAUAAUUUUAUAUUUGAGUACUUAUUAAUUUAUAUUUUCAUUGGGUCCUCAAGGAUUCAAAAGAAUAUCAUAAGAGUCAGACUGUUGACGCCCAUUUAUUAAUUUCAUAAAAUCUCUACCUUGUUUAGGGAUAGCAAAAUUACCCACAAACCUACCCAAACCCACCAGCAAAAACCCUCCCGCUGCAGGUAAUUUUGUGGGUUGCGGAUAAGUUUGGUAUUUCAACUUAAAUCCACUGCGGGUUACGGAUUGAUUUGGUAUUAAGAAAAAAUUUGUUGGGUACCAGCGCGGGUAUCCACCAACCCACAUUCUCUAUUUUAAUUAUUUAUAUUUUUUAUUUUAAUCAAAAAAAUAACAUAAAAAUUUUAAUCAUAAAUAUAUUUAACUUUAAAGUUUUUCAUUCCUAAAUCUAACUUUUUUUCACAUUAUUGAUUAUUGUUAUUUUUGGGACGCUAGCUAGUGUUCUUGAGUUUCGUGGAGUAACAAAGUUUGAAGAGAAUGAUAGAGAUAUGCAUUAAGUCCAUUAUUUAUGGAAUUGGUAUCUUAUAGCAAGUCUAGUUAAAUUAGGAUUUUAUUUAUUGCAUAUCUUGUAAUAGCAAUUAAUUAAAUUAAUUCCCUAAUUAAAUGAUAUUCUAAUUUAUUAUGAUUAUUUGUUUCCUAGUUUUAUUAGAUGUCAAAUUUAGCAAGUCAAUUAAUAACGGAAUUCUAUAAUUAGCGUUUAAGAUUUAUUUAAAGUAAGAAGCUGGUUCAAACAAUAAGUUUAUUAAAUGCUCUAGAUAUUUCUUGGGAGACAAGCAAGGCAAGAAUAUCAUAUUUAUUCCUAUUCAGAUUCAUAGGAAUUAUAAGAGAAAAUAAACUCUUAUUUGGAAAGAAUCCAAGUUUUUUAAGACUUGCAAUUUUUGUGAAACUCUAGUGCUUAUAUAAAGAGAGGUAUUUAAUAAUUGAACGAGUACAACACAAAGCAUAAAGCAGGGAAGCAAAAUUCGGCCUCCUCCUUAGAGAAUCCGGAUUUAGUGCAUAACGUUGUGUUGAUUUGUUUUCCUAUCUUCUUCAUUCAAAGUCUUGUAAUGAAACUAUUUCUUUUCAUCUAUGUGGAUCUUAGAUCACUAGACAUUAAAGAAUUAAAAAAUUGUUAUUAAUCACUUUGCGAAGUGCCUUGAGGAUCGUGGAUCAAGAGAAGUAGCAAUUAUUCAAGAAAAACAGAUUUAGACUAUAGUUGAGUAAGCUGUAUGGUGAUAAAUUGUAAGUGAGAGUCUUAAGUUUGGUAAAUUCAUAGGUUGUAACAUCUCAACUUAGUGAAUUGCUUUAUAUCGGGGCGUGACCUCAUAAAUGUAGGAUGGAUUAGUCCAAACCAUGUAAAAAUAUCCGUGUUGUUUAAUUUCUACAAUUUAUUUUAUUUUGAAAAAAUAAUAUUUUUAAUGCGGAUGAACAAUAAUAGUGAACAGUAACUGCAAACAGUGAGCGUGAGUAGUAACUCUGAACAAUUUUAGUAAACAGUAUUUUUAAAAAUUAAUUAAAUUGUUAAUUUUAGGGUUUUAACUGUCUACAUCUAUUUGCAAUAAAUCUAAAUUGCUUUCGAUAUGGAGAUUGUAGAAGAAUUAUAAGAGUGAUAAAGUCAUUGAAAAUUGAAAGAUAUAAAAAAUUUAACAAUGAAAAUAAUUUUUAUUUAAGAACAAGUCAUACAACAGUCCCAACUACUCAAAUUAGUGAAAUCAAUUCGAGGAUUCAAUAAGAAAAAAAAAAUCUGGCUGUUGCACAAGCAUUGCAAAGUUACAUAUUUUCUUUUCAUCAUUUGGGAAUUUUGUCACCUGAUAGAUACUUAUUUCAACUCGGAAAAAAAUUUGUCAACAGAUAGAUAGUUUGUUCUCAAAGUCUUUUAUACUCAUAAUAUAAGAUUGAAUGCCAUAGAAAAAAAAAUGUAUUUCCGACAUUAGGUGGAAUAUAAUGAAAAAAAGGCUUCUAAGAGGAUUUUGAAAGGGUCUAAUAGUUCAACUUAAGUUAUUAUUUAUUUAUUUAGUGAGACCAAAAGAUUUUUUUUUUUAAAUUUAAUUAAGGUUAUUAAUUUAUUGAACAUUUAUUUAUCAAAGUUUUACUGUAAUUGCAAAACAACUUGUCAAGUAUUCAUGGUGAUACUGGUAACUGCACAUAGAGUAGUUACCAUAUCAAGAUAUAGACAAUUGCCCGGCAGAAAGAUAGAUUUUAUUCUUGCCUAUGUUCACGUUGACAGUCUCUUAAAAUAUAUUUUAAAGUGCUGUAAAAUAUUUUGUAUGCAUCUGCACAAAAUUUUGUGCCGCAACUGACCAUGACUCACUGUAUAUGUGUGCUCAAGAUAAAACCAAAGUAAUUUGGGAAAUUUACAAAAAUAACCAUAAAAUUUUUGUUAUUUUCACAAUUAACCCUCUCAACUUUUUUCUAUCAACAUUAGCCAAACACACGCUUUUCUUCCCAAAUUACCCUUCUUUACAAACCAAAACAACUUUCGUCAAAACUUGGUGCGACAGGCACCUAUCGCACCAAGUACCAAGCCUUGCUUGGUGCGACAGGCGUCUGUCACACCAAAACUUGGUGCGACAGGCACCUGUCGCACCAAGUGCCAAGCCAAGCUGGAUGAAGAAGAUGACACCCACAUAAGCACCCGAGUUGCCGGAACAAUGUGAGUCGCUGCAUACUAAUUUCUCAUCAAUGUUUUCCACUUUCCUUCUCAUACAUUAUAUAUGAAUUUAAUAUUCAAAUUCACGACUUUGUAGUGGAUAUAUGGCACCAGAAUAUGCAACACGGGGCCAUUUAACAGAGAAAGCGGAUGUCUAUAGUUUCGGAAUUGUUGCCUUAGAAAUUGUCAGCGGUAGAAGCAACGUUUUUUNNNNNNNNNNNNNNNNNNNNNNNNNNNNNNNNNNNNNNNNNNNNNNNNNNNNNNNNNNNNNNNNNNNNNNNNNNNNNNNNNNNNNNNNNNNNNNNNNNNNNNNNNNNNNNNNNNNNNNNNNNNNNUGUGUGCCAGUGCUUCUCCUACAAAUAGGCCUUCAAUGUCUUCGGUCUUAAGCAUGCUCGAAUGCGGUGUUGAUGUUCCAGAUUUAGUUCCAGAUUCAAGUAUCUCAUAAGUUGAUGAAACCAAGUCAGAAGCAAUGAGGAGAUAUUAGCACGUCGUAAAUUUAUGGGCCACCUACACGUUCUUCCACGUCUGGAGCUGACCUCUAUCCAUUCAGUGUGGAUUCCGACCGAUUAUUGUAAUAACUCAGAUUAGAGAAUUAUGCUUGAAUGCUGUGUGUAUAUUUUCUUCUCAUUCUAUCUUCUUUUCUUCUUUCUCAACAUAAAUGUUAAAGACAUUCAGCAUAUAACUCCGAAAUGGAGCGUGUUUCUACUGCUGCCAUGGCUGAUUUAAAAGCCAUCGCCGACUGCAUGAUAUCGGCCGGCUACGGGAAGGAGUGUUGGGGGAGAGAUGAGAGAGAGGGGUAUUUUAGUCUCAAAGGCUUUUUUAUGGCUAAUGUUGAUAGAAGUUUGUUUGGGGGGUUAAGAUGGAAAAAGCCAAAAUUUUUAUGGCUAUUUUUGUAAAUUUCCCAAGUAAUUUGAACCAACGUCCUAAUUGUAUCAUGACAAGGUUUCUUAAUAUUCUCAGUAUUAAUUAGAUUACUUGGAAUAGCCUUAAUAAUCUAGGCACCCAUCAAUUUUGUGCGCUAAAAUAUUUAGAUCCUCCGUAGAAUUAGGAGGCUCGUUAGUUCAUUAAUUUGAAGUAAUCAAUCCAAUUCACUCAGGACUAGGAUUGUAAUUCUACACUUGUAAAAACUAUCUAGAAAAAGAAAAAAAAAAAAAGACAACUGCCCUAUUAUUUGAUCACAACACAAAUAAUUGGUUGUGUCAAGCCUACCCAACCCUACAUAAAUCUUAAGAUCUUAUGAGCCCAGAGACCAGGGAUUUUGAUACAGCUUACCAACCUUCAUAAUGUGACAGAUGCUAUGGGGAACCCAGAUUACAACUCUUUGCCAUGGUUAUGGUUCUGAAAAAUGUAGACUGUUGAGGAAGUGAAUUUCUGAAAUAUCUUUUAACCAAUAGCAAGUAGAUUACUUUCAGACAAAAAUGUCAAACAACUCAGUAUCUUGAGAAUCAAAAUUACUGCCAAUCCCUUUAAAAAUAAAAAAUAAAAAAGGUUACUUAAUUCACCUCAAAUCAGAAUAAGUGGACUGAAACAACGGCUUCACUGUAGUCAAUUCAAGCAUCGGUCAAAAGUAUUUUCACAAAUCUAUUUGCAAGUAAAAAGCUUCUUAAACUAUCUACACAUCAAAGAGAUAAUAUGACAGAAUCUGGCCUUCAACAAGCACAACUCUGAUGUGUGCUACAAAAAGUAUUCAUGGUCAGACCUUUUGAUGUCCAUCAUAACCACCAGACUUUCAAUGACUAACCAAGCUUCCCCAGUCCAAUAGUCGCCCUAAACCUAAAAAAGACGAAAAAAAUUGGACAAAUACAAAUAAUUUCAGAAUAUAGAAAAGAUUAAUUAGCAAAAAAAAAAAAAAUCAGAUUAUUUUAACCCCUCAAGAUGUUCUAUGUGCAUUAGAUUGAGCAAUUAUCCACACUGUUUAGUGGUCUUAUUCCAGUUUGAAGCAAUAUUAACCAUCUGGCAACAUGUUAGUGAUGGAUAGGGACAAAUCAUAAUCAGUCUUCUCAAGACAAUAUUUAUCUCUCUAGGAAUCAGAAGGGCUCUAUAGUAUAGAUCAUUUGAGAAAGUCAUUCAUCUGCUUCAAUCGAGAGAAAAAUAAAAGCUAGCCUAGAUUAUGUUGCGAGAUAGAGUAAAUCCAUUAUCAUGAACACUAAAGUGAUUAGUAUUCAAGUGAUCAAGUAUUGUAAUUGCUUGCGCAAAAAUGUUAUAACUUCAUGUUACUUUACCUCUUGUAACUCAUUCUUCCUUCUCUGCCUGCCACGCCACUUCCUGCAUAAGCAGCUAGUGAAACAAGACUAUCCAUACAAACAAUUGUAUCACGACAACCUUGCGGGACACCACCAUGAAUCGUCACUUGAUCAGCAGCUCUCUGAUUUUGUGGGUCAUACCAACAAAGUUCCCAUCUAUUUAUAUCUUCAUCUUCACCAUACUUAAACUUAUCCACUAGAACUUUGUCUUCACUCUUUGAAUAAGCCAAUGCUUUCACAUAAUCACCAACACUUCGGUGAAAAGAAAAAGCCUUAGUCCAACACCCCUUCAAUACCCAUAUAUCGACAGGUUGUGGAUAAUUACAAAGGCAACUGAAAUAGAGACAUCCACUGAAAUUGCCCACAAACAUAACAAGGACGUCGUUUUUAUUCCCUAGAUGAGGCAGUGGCACCUCGUGAAAUUCCUCACUUUUUAGAUUAAAUGCGAUGAUCAGAUUUUCAAUAUAAUCUUCAGGAUUUUUCGUUACCAACCAAUGUACAUGACCAUCCGCAAAUUUACCAUCCCAACCGUGAAGAAUAGAGUAAGGGAAGUCGACUCUGAUCCGUCUCCAAGAAUUAGUUCUCAAACUAUAAACAGAAACUUCAGUAUACUCGACAUUUUCUCUAACAAAGUGUACAAGUCUGACAACUUUGUAGUCAUCAUUAACAGCAUCAUAACCAAACCCAUCAACAACCAUGUAAACCUUAUCUUUCAAAUCACCCCAAAACUUGGGUAGUAUUAGAUGUUCCUUGGUUGAUGGAUUCCAAAAAGCUAUGCCAUUUUCAUCAUUUUUGAGAGCAAUCAAUCCAUUGCAAGAAUCAAUAAUUGGAGUCCUCCCUUUGCAAUUCUUAAAAGGGUGAUCAAGUUCUACACCAAGAUUCAAAGAAUCCAAGCUUGCGGAGAAGAUUUUACCGUUCCAGUAGCGUGAUGAGUCUAAGAUAGGAGCUGGUGUACCUGAAAGAAUGAGGCUGAGAUUGGAGUUGGUUUCAAUGGAGCGUUUGAGAUGGAUCUUUAUGAAUUCUUGGCUGUCGAUUAAGCUACAAAACGACUUCGACACGCACUUGAAACGCAGCAGAGACUUAACAGGUAGCCGGCUUAGUAUGUCAAUGUUUAUAUCCGUCGGGAGCCUCGCCAUUGUUAGCCGUAGUUACAGGCAGCAAUGAACACAAGAUGUUUGAUAAAAUGCUUAACAAAGGGUUGUGGGUUUUUGGCUUUUCGCUCUCUCAGAAUUAGCCGUGAAUGAGAUGAACUUUCAGCUUCCGUGAAAUUGUGUUUCCUCUUCUUUUUCCAUAUAUCUUAUAAUAUAUAUAGUUUUUUUUUUCAGUUAUUAAUAGUGUUUGGUUUUAUAUUUGCAUCAAGAAAAUUAACCUUUUUUUUUUCAUUUAUAUCUCAAAUCAGGGCCUUUCCAUAAGUUUCUAUCAUAAGUUUUCAAUAAUUAUAAUUAAAAAUAAAAUCAUUUACUUAAAUUUUUUAUUUUAAAUUAACAAGAUUUAAAAACUUUCUGAGAAUUAUUAUUAUUAUUAUUAUUUAUCCUCAUUCAUCAUUUCGUUAACAAAAUAUUCUGACUACAAUUACGUAACUGACAAAUAUUAUGCUUUAUGUAGCAUAAAACUCAACACAUCUUCUAAAUUCAGAACAAUUGCAAAUAUUAUCAUUCGGGCAAAAUUGGGAGAAAUCAAAUCUUGCUUGUUGGCAAGUUUUAAGCGGCUCGAGAAGUUAUCUAUGCGGAUCAUGUGUCCCAUUUAUCAAUCAACGUUUUUAAGUCAGGCCUCGAGGCUAAAAUGAUUUCAAUAUAACAAAGCUUCGAGCUGCGAAAGCUUCAAGCAAUUUAGUACGUGAUAAUUGCAAAACAACUUUACAAGGUUUUAUGGUCAUACUAAUAAUUAAUUGCACAUACAGUAGAUGCUGUUCUAACAAAUCCCAAGUUAACAAAACAUAUUCGCCCAAAAAUCAGGGACGUAGCCAGGAAUUAAAUUGAUCUGGGGCGCACUAAAAAUGUAGUAUAAUUUUGAAAAUUUAUAUUACAACACAUAGAAUCGCAAUAUAAUAUAAAUUGAUAAUAAAUUUUGAAAAUUUAGAUAACAAUACAUAGAAUUGCAACUAUAAUAUAAAUUAAUAAUAAAUUUACUUAUUACAAUUGUUCUAAUCAAGAAUUCCCCAACGAGAUUUCAUGCGUUGAAAAUGCUGUAAAAUAAUUUCAUUAUCAAUACAAUCAAAUACAUCUUUUUCAAUGUACACAACCAGAUUAUCAUUCAACCAUUCAUCUUCCAUUCAACUUCGUAGUCGAUUCUUCACAUAAUUCAUAGCUGAAAAAACUCUUUCAACAGUGGUAGUGGCAACUGGUAAAACUAAUGCUAAUGUGACUAAUAAAUAGACCAAUGAAAACACCUUGUGCUUAUUAGUCUCAACCAUUUUUUGUGCAAGAUCACAAAUCAUGUUUAAUCCUGAAAACUCAACACUAGACUGCAUAUCCAUUAUGUAAACAUCAAGUUAAGUAUCUAGUGCCAUGAGAUCAAUUGGAGAAAAAUCUUUUAGAUAAAAUUGAGCAAGGCGCAAUAACGUUUCUUUAUUGAAAGCUGCAAAUAAAUCUUUUGGACAUAAACAAGCCAAGCACAUAAGUAAUUUAGUGUUUACCUCAUUAAAACGACUGUUUAACUCUUGAAGUUGCAUAUCCAAACAACUUUGUAGUCAUCAUUAACAGCAUCAUAACCAAACCCAUCAACAACCAUGUAAACCUUAUCUUUCAAAUCACCCCAAAACUUGGGUAGUAUUAGAUGUUCCUUGGUUGAUGGAUUCCAAAAAGCUAUGCCAUUUUCAUCAUUUUUGAGAGCAAUCAAUCCAUUGCAAGAAUCAAUAAUUGGAGUCCUCCCUUUGCAAUUCUUAAAAGGGUGAUCAAGUUCUACACCAAGAUUCAAAGAAUCCAAGCUUGCGGAGAAGAUUUUACCGUUCCAGUAGCGUGAUGAGUCUAAGAUAGGAGCUGGUGUACCUGAAAGAAUGAGGCUGAGAUUGGAGUUGGUUUCAAUGGAGCGUUUGAGAUGGAUCUUUAUGAAUUCUUGGCUGUCGAUUAAGCUACAAAACGACUUCGACACGCACUUGAAACGCAGCAGAGACUUAACAGGUAGCCGGCUUAGUAUGUCAAUGUUUAUAUCCGUCGGGAGCCUCGCCAUUGUUAGCCGUAGUUACAGGCAGCAAUGAACACAAGAUGUUUGAUAAAAUGCUUAACAAAGGGUUGUGGGUUUUUGGCUUUUCGCUCUCUCAGAAUUAGCCGUGAAUGAGAUGAACUUUCAGCUUCCGUGAAAUUGUGUUUCCUCUUCUUUUUCCAUAUAUCUUAUAAUAUAUAUAGUUUUUUUUUUCAGUUAUUAAUAGUGUUUGGUUUUAUAUUUGCAUCAAGAAAAUUAACCUUUUUUUUUUCAUUUAUAUCUCAAAUCAGGGCCUUUCCAUAAGUUUCUAUCAUAAGUUUUCAAUAAUUAUAAUUAAAAAUAAAAUCAUUUACUUAAAUUUUUUAUUUUAAAUUAACAAGAUUUAAAAACUUUCUGAGAAUUAUUAUUAUUAUUAUUAUUUAUCCUCAUUCAUCAUUUCGUUAACAAAAUAUUCUGACUACAAUUACGUAACUGACAAAUAUUAUGCUUUAUGUAGCAUAAAACUCAACACAUCUUCUAAAUUCAGAACAAUUGCAAAUAUUAUCAUUCGGGCAAAAUUGGGAGAAAUCAAAUCUUGCUUGUUGGCAAGUUUUAAGCGGCUCGAGAAGUUAUCUAUGCGGAUCAUGUGUCCCAUUUAUCAAUCAACGUUUUUAAGUCAGGCCUCGAGGCUAAAAUGAUUUCAAUAUAACAAAGCUUCGAGCUGCGAAAGCUUCAAGCAAUUUAGUACGUGAUAAUUGCAAAACAACUUUACAAGGUUUUAUGGUCAUACUAAUAAUUAAUUGCACAUACAGUAGAUGCUGUUCUAACAAAUCCCAAGUUAACAAAACAUAUUCGCCCAAAAAUCAGGGACGUAGCCAGGAAUUAAAUUGAUCUGGGGCGCACUAAAAAUGUAGUAUAAUUUUGAAAAUUUAUAUUACAACACAUAAAAUCGCAAUAUAAUAUAAAUUGAUAAUAAAUUUUGAAAAUUUAGAUAACAAUACAUAGAAUUGCAACUAUAAUAUAAAUUAAUAAUAAAUUUACUUAUUACAAUUGUUCUAAUCAAGAAUUCCCCAACGAGAUUUCAUGCGUUGAAAAUGCUGUAAAAUAAUUUCAUUAUCAAUACAAUCAAAUACAUCUUUUUCAAUGUACACAACCAGAUUAUCAUUCAACCAUUCAUCUUCCAUUCAACUUCGUAGUCGAUUCUUCACAUAAUUCAUAGCUGAAAAAACUCUUUCAACAGUGGUAUUCUUUAUUGAAAGCUGCAAAUAAAUCUUUCUUGAAGUUGCAUAUCCAAAAUAGUACAAAAUAGGUCAAUGCGAUAAUGAUGCAUAUUUGUGAUCUCUUGUGCUCUAUGCCUUGAUCUUCCAGGGGUUAGAAACAUAUUUUCCAUGACAGGAACAAUAAUAAAAUGCUUCUCACAAAAUGAAGAAACUUGACUAAGCAAAGAAUUUCAUCCAUGUUCCCUCAUCCUUUGUAGACCUAGUUUGUAAAUACUAACUAAUUUCAUGGAAUUCACAAAAUCUUGAUCUUUCCUUUGUAAUGCUUGUGACAAAUCAUUUGCAAAACCAAGAAUAUUUUUCAUCAAGUAUAAAGUAAACACAAAAUCAAAUGUUUGCAUGAACUUCAAAUUUAAGCUAUAUAAUAAAAUUAGCAAUUUUAAAAUAGAAAAAAUAAUGAAAUAAAAAAUUAGAAUUAAAAAACAUCACGCGCAUGGUGACGAUCAGGGAGCACUGCAAAUCGCCUAAUCUGCUAUGGAGUCCACCCACCACACUUUAUUUCAUGGAACUAUGGAAGAGACGAGAGAAAGCGGAAAGCUAAGAUUUUACUUAUUUUAAUUAAUUUUUUAAUGAAUUUCAUUUGAUAAAGGUUCUCUCAUUUGUCUUUAUUGAUUUUUAUGAUAUUAUAAUAGUUAAUCAAAUUAUUUAGAAUUAGACAUUUAAGUUAGGGGCAACGUGAAAUAUUUUUAAAAUUGUGUGGGCACUUUCAGAGUUUUAAAAUUUACGUGGGGCAUUUUGAUAAAUAAUAAAUAAAAUAUAUUUUUUUAAGAAAACCAUCAAAAAAAAUUUUGAAAGCCAGCUGGGGCAUGUGCCCCACCUAGUCCGAUGCUGGCUCCGCCUCUGCCAAAAAUGGAUACACGACAACUGCAUUUGCAAUGCACGUGCAUGCUUCACCUGCUUCUUUAUAAGCCAAACGUGGUUAAUUAUCAAAGCAACAACAAGCUACCACCUUCAUGCAAGGCACGUGCUUGCUUCACUUGCAUGCUUUACUGGCGUGCUUGAGUCGGUGGCCAUAUAUAAUUUGAAGGAAUUGAAAGCAGCUCUCAUUUUGCAUCAAUUUUCGAAUUGAGACAGAGAAAAAAAAAAGAAUAAAACCCGAGAGAAAAAGAGAAGCGGAAAUAAAAGAAAAAGAAGAAAAGAAAUAAAAGAAAGGAGGAAGCUGAGAGUGGGAAAAGAAGUUUAAAAGAUGAAUUGAGAGGGAAUGUUGCAAGAAAUGAAAUUGAACAGUUAGAUUAAUAUCCAAUGAAUUAGUGGGUAAUAGAUGUGUGAAAUUUGAACAGUUAUGUUACAGUUUUCAUGAUACGUAUAAAUUUUUAUAUAAGUUUUAAUAGUUAAUUUUUGAAUCUCGUAUUUUAGGAGGAAUUCGAGAAUCCAUAACUCAUAAGAGCCCCAACGAACCUCGGAGUAAAACAUGAUCUGUGAGUAGAUACUAUUAUUACUAUUAUAUAUUCCAUGAAGCAUUUAUUUUUUAUAGUAUUAUUUAAUAUCAUGUUAUGAUUACAUGUACAGAUAUUACAUGUUUGAUUGAGUUAUGAGAUGUGAUUGUCAAUCACCAUAUGUGUACCAUUUCCAUAAGUUAUGCACAUGCAUAUUGGGAGUUAGGUUACUCUACAUGUGCGAUGUAAUUAAAUUCCGCUGAGUAUUGAGAGGUUUUCCCCCGUUCUACUCGUGCGAUAAUGAUCUUGACCCCCCUAGGUACUACUUGGUGCAGUUUUGUCAUGUAUGUAUGAUUUUCAUAUUUACUUAUGCAUUACAUUUAGUAUGGAGUUAUGUCACAUGAUUAUGUAUAUACCCUCAUACGCUACUUUAUUUUUCUAUAUAAAAAUUAUAUCCACUCACUGAGCCGCAAGUUCAUUAUUUUCCUAUUUAUCUCUUAUUUUCCCAAGAUUCUGCAGGAUUUUGUGCAGAUCAGUUUUAUUCAAUUGAGGUUGGGUCACGAGACGCGUUGCUGCAUGUCUUGCAUUUUGAACAUUUUCAUGUUGCUUAUGUUAUUUUUAUGUAUAUAUAAUUGUAAUGGAAGUAUGUAUAAUGAGACGUGAAUUGUGCAAGUUUUGAAUGCAUAUAUAUUUUCAAAGGAGGCACGGAGAUUAUUAUGUGUCUACAAUAAAAGCCCCAUAUAUAUACAUAUAAAUUAAGUUUGUGCCACGAGUUUUGUUACUAGACCGCGUGAUUCGUCUCGGAUCCAACAUAUAAGUUAGGGCGAGUCAUGAAGCAUUAUUCUUUGAUCACAAUAUAAAUUGUAGCUUUACAGCAAUCAUGUUAGUAUGAUUUCCUUCUGUGUCGUCAGUGAUGAUGGCAGCAACACAAGUGCUUGCACGAUUUUUAUUCCCUCGUUCGUAAUUGCACGAUUUUUUGUUUUUUAUUUUUAACAUUCCUUAAAAAUGACCAAUUUCCACAAACAAAUGUGUAACUCUUUGAUUCUUCUUAAUCCUAAGUGAAGUGGGUAUCCAAGAAACUUGAGGAAAUUAAAUGAAUUAAUUCCUGUUUAACUAAGAGAACUAUAAGGCAAGGCUAGGCUAAGGGCACUUGAAAUUUGUUUCCUAAUUAUUCUAAAACGCCCUUGAUCAUGAAAUAACGUUUUAGCCGCCAAGUAAUCAGUCUAAUUAGUUCUCACAUUAAUUAUUCGGAAAUCUGUUCACUUUGUCACCCAAAGAAUGUUGGAAAAAUACGAGCCCUUCACCUAACGAUUUUAGCGUUUAUAAUAUAGUUAUUUUACCUUAAAUUAUUACUACUAUUAUUAUUUUCUUUUGUUACGAAGUAUUUAGUGGAGUAAGUACAGUUGCCAAGUUCUAAUUGUAUCAGGACAAUAUUUCGAUUAAUUUAUUCUAUAUACACUUCAUAAGCGGGAUAGCCACAGCAUUAACCGUAAAGCUUUCGUGAACAUCUUUGUUUGAUUUCUUUCGUAUCGCUUGUCUAUUAAUCAUACAAUGACGAUGGUCGACAAUCAAAACGGUGCCGCAGCAGUAGCAGCACAAGUAGUGAUUCCGGAGAUGCCAGCUAGUUUCAAGAACAGGAUUGAGGAGAUGGGUUGUUCAAACGUUGUGCUAGUCAUUCAGAAACGAUUGACCAAAAGUGAUACAAGAGGCCAAUACAUCGAAUCUCCAUACCAGAAGGACAAAUAAUGAGUGAUUUUCUUGAGGCGGAGGCGGAGUUACUUGUUGAUACAAACCAACCAAUGCAUAAUGUCAGAUUGAUCCACCCAUGUGUGAGUAAGGUGACUGACGAAUGUGACAUUGAAGAAGUGGCAACUUACAAUCUCACUGGUACUUGGCAUAAACAAGUUGUAGGCGACGCUGAGAAUGCUCUUCAAGAUGGAACCAUGGCGCAAUAAUAAAUUAUUCAGAACAAUAAUAGUCAGCUUUGUUUUGUUCUUGUUAAUUUAGAUCUUAAUUAGUGGAUAUUCAGAUUAACUAAUUAAGUUUCAUUCUAUUAUAUAUAAAUUAUUACCUUUUCAUGAAUGAAAUUCUCUCAAGUUAUUUGAUUUCACUAGUGUGGUUUUGAUUCACCAGCUUCAAAUUCUAUAUAUAUAUAUAUAUAUAUAACCUUAAGGCACUUUUGCCUUUUAGGUACUGCAAUCAGGAAUAUUCAUCCGUUAACUAUGGUCAACCAUCAACUUAUAAGUCAAACUAACGGAAUGGGAUUCCGUAAUGAGUUUCCAAAAUUCUGAGAGAAAUUUGACGAAUGUUGAUUUAAAAGGGGGUUGAGCAAAAUUUAACCUGAAAGGUAACCUUCCUUUUUAAAUCCUUCAGUGAAUCAGUAGUAAUCCACAGUGGACAGAAAGAAAUAAAGAGUCAUACAAGCAUGUCAAUCUAAGAAAAUAACAAGCGUUUUUCAAAAGUACUUUCACAACUCUGUUUGCAAGUAAAAGCUUCUAAAACUAUCUACGCAGCAAAGAGAUAAUACGACAGAAUCUGGCUUUCAACGAGCAUAACUUUGAUGUGUGCCACAAAAAAGUGUUAAUGAAACCUUUGCAUUGUCCAUCAUAACCACAAGCUUCCCAAUCCAAUAGCCAUCCUAAACCUGAAAAAAACGAAAAACACCAGACAAAUACAUAUAAUCUCAGAAUAUAUAAAAAAAAAAUCAGAUUAUUUUAACUCCCCAAAAUGUCCUACGUGAGUUAAGAUUGAACAAUCAUUCACUCUGUUUCAUGGUCUCUUAUUCCAAUUUGAAGCAAUAUUAACCAUCAGGCUAUACGUAAGUGCUGUGAAGAAUGCACGGGGACAAAUCAUAAUCAGCCUAGUCAAGACAAUACUUAUCUCUCUAGGAUUCAGAAGGGCUCUAUAGUAGAGACCACAUGAGAAAGUCAUUUAUCUAUCCUGCUUCAAUAGUGAUAAAAACAAAAGUAAACAACCUUAGCCUAGAUUAUGCUGCGAGAUAGAGUGAAUCCAUAAUUAUGAAAACUAAAGGGACUAGCAUUCAAGCGAUUAAGUAUUGUACUUGCUCGAGCAAAAAUAUCAUAACUUCACGCUGUUUUACCUUUUCUAACUCAUUCUUCCUUCUCUGCCUGCCACACCUCUUCCUGCACAAGCAGCUAGUGAAACAAGACUAUCUACACAAACAAUUGUAUCACGACAACCUUGCGGCACACCAUGAAUCGUCACUUGAUCCGCAGCAGCUCCCUGGUUUUGUAGGUCAUACCAAAAAAGUUCCCAUCUAUUUAUAUCUUCAUCUUCACCAUACUCAAACUUAUCCACUAAAACUUUGCCUCCGCUCUGUGAAUAAGCCAAUGCUUUCACAUAGUCACCAACACUUCGGGGAAAAGAAAAAGCUUUAGUCCAGCACCCCUUCAAUACCCAUAUAUCGACAGGCUGUGGAUAAUUACAAAGGCAACUGAAAUAGAGACAUCCACUGAAAUUGCCCACAAACAUAACAAGUACGUCGUUUCUAUUCUCUAGAUGAGGCAGUGGCACUUCGUGAAAUUCCUCACUUUUUAGAUUAAAUGCGACGAUCAGAUUUUCAAUAUAAUCUUCAGGAUUGUUCGUUACCAACCAGUGUACAUGACCAUCCGCAAAUGUACCAUCCCAACCGUGAAGAAUAUAGUAAGGGAAGUCGACUCUGAUCCGUCUCCAAGAAUUAGUUCUCAAACUAUAAACAGCAAUUUCAGUAUAUCCAACAUUUCCUAUAACCAAUUGUACAAGUCUGACAACUUUGUAGUCAUCAUUAACAGCAUCAUAACCAAACCCAUCAACGACCGUAAAAUCUUUCAAAUCACCCCAAUACUUGGGUAGUAUUAGAUGUUCCUCGGUUGAUGGAUUCCACAAAGCUAUGUCAUUUUCAUCAUUUUUUAGAGCAAUCAAUCCAUUGCAAGAAUCGACAAUUGGAGUCCUCCCUUUGCAAUUCUUAAAAGGGUGAUCAAGUUCUACACCAAGAUUCAAAGAAUCCAAGCCUGCAGAGAAGAUUUUGCCGCCCCAGUAACGUGAUGAGGCUGAAAUAGGAGCUGGUGUACCUGAAAGAAUGAGGCUGAGAUUGGAAUUAGUUUCAAUAGAGCGUUUGAGAUGGAUCUUUAUGAAUUCUUGGCUGUCGAUCAAGCUACAAAACGACUUCGACACCCACUUGAAACGCAGCAGACACUUAACAGAUAGCCGGCUUAGUAUGUCAAUGUUUAUAUCCGUCGGGAGCCCCGCCAUUGUUAGCAGUAGCUACAGGCGGCAAUGAACACGAGAUGUUUGAUAAAAUGCUUGAGAUAGGGUUAUGGAUUUUUUCUGUCUCAGAACUAGGCAACUGCCCCCAGUGUGCUGCUUGUAGUUUUAGCCGUGAAUAGUAACUCCGAGCUUCGGUGAAAAAGAAAGGGAAAAAUUAUAUAUGUAUAUAGUUUUCACUUUUUCACAAAAUUAAUAGUGUUCGGUUUUAUUUGUUUUAGAAAGAAUAAUCUUUUUUUUUAAUAUCUCAAAUUAGGCCACCUUGUAAGUUUACUAUUAUAAGUUUUCGCCAAUUAAAAUUAAAACUAUUACUUUUUUUUUAAUUUAAAAUUGAUUGUUUAUGCUGUUCAGAUUCACCAUUCCAUUAUAAUCCAAUCUGAUUGCAAGUCAUUAUGAUUACGAGUACCUAAAUGCACCAUUAUCCUCGAUAAUGGUUUUAUUUUUAGUCGGUAAAAUCUAUGACUGAUUGAUGAAAUCUAGUGCUCCAUAUAACAAUAAAUUCAACACAUCUGAAUCCAUAUUCAACAGCAAAUAAUAUCAUCCGGCUAAGUUGAAUGAAAUUAAACCUUGCUUGUUGGCAAGUUUUGUGGGUUGAGUGCCGUGAGAAGUCAUUGUUAAAAUAUAACGCCUUGAUUGUGUUAAAAAAGGUUUCCUAAAAUCUUUAGAUUCUCCUUAGAAUUAGAAUUUAGAAAGCUAGUUGAUAAAUUAAGUUUUCAAGUAUAAACCGAAUUCGCUCAGGACUAGGAUUAUAAUUUUAUACGUAUAAACAGCAGCCACAAAAAAGAUUGCUACACAACAACUGCAUUAUUCUCUAAUCACAAUUUACAAACAGUAGCUUUCCUGCAAAUUAAUAUUUCGGUUUGAUUUUCCUGGCUCUAUGUCGUCAAUGACGAUGGUGGCAGCACAAGCGGUGGUAAAGGAGAUGCCGGAAAGCUUAACAAGAUCGAGGAGAUGGGUGAUUCAAAUAUUGUGCAAGCUAGCCAUUCAGAAAUAAUUGACGCAAUCGAUUCUCCGGAGGAGGAUGAGAUUUGUCUUGAUAGAAGCCAGCUAAUGGAGAAUGUUAAGUUGAUUUAGCCAUGGGCAAGUAAGGUGGCCUAUGUGAGACUGAAGAUGUGGCGUAUGACCAGGGCUUGUUGUACUUAUAAUCUCAUUGAAACUUGGCGUAAAGGAGUUGUGGGCAACGCCGAGAAUGCUCUUCGAGAUGGAACCAUGCUGCAGCUCUGUGUUUUCAGAAGAUAUUAAUUUUAUUUAGAUCUUGUUAAUCAAUUAAUAUAUUAAUUAGUAGAUAUUCGAAUUUAUUAAUAAAGUACUCAUUAACGUAAUAUAUUACACAUUCAUUAUGAAUGCAUCUACGUACCAUUUUCUCUUUAAGAAGAAAAAGAGACAAAAAGAAAGUUUUAAAUCCCACCUCCACUAUACUGUUUCUUAAUUCGUAUCUUCUAGCAAUCAAUUGUUCGGUUCAAGAUAUUGAUUUCAUGUUAUUUUGAUUAAAAAAAAGUGAUUCUGUUCUGGGUUUAGUGAAUUUGCUUGUGCCUUCAAAACCAAAUGUAUCAAUUUGGCCACCUUCGUGACUCGUGAGUUUGCUUUAUAGGUUUUACAUUCUUUCAUCGUUCAAACAUUACAUAGGUUAUAGGUAGAACACAAGUAUACAGUACAUAUUUUCUAUUUGUGAACUGAUUUCUAUUCUAGUAAGGAUAAAAUGGUAAAUGCAUAAACUGGGAUUUUAUAAGAGUGAACAUUUGUGUCUAUAGAUAAUGAAGCUAAGCCCAAAAGUAAGACCCAGAUGUAGAACCCAUAAAAAGGCAAAAAGCCCACUUGAUGAAACCUUCCCUCGCAUUUUCACAUCCAACGACUAGGGAUGGCAAUUGUACCCGCAAACCCGCAAAACCGCCCAAAUCCAUCCGUCAAAAUCCGUCCAUUGUGGAUAAUUUUACUCGUUGCGGGCGGGUUUAAUAUUAUAAAUUAAAACCCGCACAUGGAUGCGGGUGGGUUUGGUAUUAACCUUAUAUCCGGUGGAUACCCGCAUGGAUAUCCACCAAACCCGCAAUAUUUUUUUCAAAUAUUUUUAAUUUAAUUUUAAUCUAAAAAUGUAUAAAGAAAAUAAUAUCAUUAAUUAAAUUACCAAAUAGCCAAAGGCUCAAAGUUGUGUAUGUGUGUAUGUGGCCUAUAUCCUAUUCUAAAGUCAUAAUCUAAAGAAAACUAAAGGCAUUUUCCUUCGAAUUAGUAUUUGAAAAUAUUAAUCUUAAUUAUUAUUAUAGGCAUUGUGUUGGAUGGGUGCUUAUGGUGGUGAAUGAAAUGAAUAUCUUCUCUUGGAGCUUGUUUUAAAUGAUAAUAUGAAAUGUAAUUAUUAUUUUUAGAUACUAGUUUGUGUUUUUUAAAUGGAUUUGUGUAAUUUAUACUUAAAUUUGAGAAUUUGUGUUGAAUUGAUGUGGAAAUUUUAAUUUUUCAUUUACAUUAUUUAAAUAUAAAAUUGAGUAUAUUAUAUGAAAUUUGAGGUUAUUAUUAUAAAUUUAUAUAUUAAACAUUUGUGAUUUUAAAUACGGAAACCCACAAAAAAUCCGCCGGAUACCAUUGCGGGUUUGGUAAUUGUUAAAACCCGCUGCGGGUGGGUUUUUGUAAAAAAAUUAAAACUUGCUGCGGGUUGCGAGUGGGUUUGGUAAUUUAAAUUUUGAGCGGGUUUGGAUUUGGUAAUGGCAAACCCACUGCGGGCGGUGCCCAUUGCCAUCCCUACCAACGAUAACCUAGAAACAGAAACAAGAAAAACAAAAAAAAAAUUAAAUAAAAAUAAUAAUAAUACAAAUAAAGAAAACAAAGGAAAAUACUUCCCAAUUACACAAACGCAUUACGCACGCACAAACUCGACAGCGCUUUCUUUUCUUCCCCCCAUCUCUUUUGAUGCGCUUCCUUUUCACAAACCCAAUCAAAACCCCAUUACUCUCUUCUAUUCUUUUCCAUUGUCCCAACUCGCCCCGACUCGGCCUUCUUGACUCAGUCCGAGUCAACUCACCUUCUUCUUUGACAACUCAAAGAUCGUCACUUUCGAUGGCGGCGAUUCCCCCAAAAUCGCCGAGCCCUGAGGAGGAGGGACUCGCGAGGAGGUUGUGGAUCAAGUUUAAGAGAGAAUCUGUGUUUGCCAUGUACUCCCCGUUUACGGUUUGUUUGGCUUCUGGGAACCUAAAGCUUGAAACCUUCAGGCAUUACAUCGCCCAAGAUUUUCAUUUUCUCAAAGCUUUCGCCCAAGCGUAAGUGGGUUCUUGGAAUUCCUUGGUUUUGUUUGGUUCAAGGCUUGUUUGGUUGCUGAGAAAAUGCGGGAAAGUGCGGGAAAAUUUUGAGAAUUUUCUGUUUAGAUUGCGGGUUUGGGAGCUUGGAAGUUCUAUUAAAAGAAAUAAAUUAGGCAUCAUGAUAUAUAUAUAUAUAUAUAUAUAUUUUAUAAGAGAUUUUUCCAUAGCUGAGAAAAUGUAGCAAAUACCAAAUAAAAUAUGAUUUUUACUGGAGAUUUUAUUAUUAGUAAGGAUUAUUUUAUUAGUAAAACAAGUAAAAAUUAUGAGUUUAAGAUUGAGAAUGUGUAGCUGAUAAAUUCUAGUGAAGGACUAUAAAAUUGUGAAAAAAUAUCAUGCUAGAUACUUAUUAUUAGAGGGUUUUUGUGCUUGAUACUUGGAUUUUUAUUGCUUUGCACUUUUUAUAGCACACUGAUUUUAAUAUAAAUGAUUCGUGAGAAAAUGAACUGUGAAUAUAUUGAAGGAAAAAAUUUUGUGAGAUGCUGAACCGGCUGUCCUAGGAAAUGAUGCUUGUCCAUCCAAGAAGGAUUACGGAAAUAAGUUUGCUCUUGGAAGUCUGAGGGGUUUCCAACAAACUUUUGGUAAAAUGAUAGGAAAGCAAGGUUGUUAAUAUGUUUUAUGGGCGUUCUACUUUUUACAUGGUUGUUUGUUAGGAUUUUUUUGCCAUGGUAGGAUCAACAUAUAAAAAUUUUUUGUCCCUUAUACUCAAAGAAAGUUGGUAAGAGGAAAAAUUUUUUCAAAAUUUCUCAUUACUUGGGACUAUGAAAGCUAAACUGAACUUUUGUGGGGCAUAAUCCACUUAGUUGAUUUAUUUGGAUGAGUUUCGGUUUCUAAAGCGUAAAUUAGGAUAUACAUAAGUAUCAAGAGAAAUAUUUGUUUUUCUCACCCUGUACUGGUGUUAUAUAUUCUCUGUUUUGUUGUUAUUUUUAGGUAUGAACUGGCGGAAGAAUGUGCUGAUGAUGAUGAUGCAAAGUUAUCUAUCUCUGAAUUGAGGAAGGGUGUACUUGAGGAGUUAAAAAUGCAUGAUUCCUUUGUGAAGGUAAUAUGAAAUAACACAUAUAAACAAAUAAUAAGGAAAAUUUUGGUGAUUAAUAGAGUUGAAUCUACUAGAUUAUACUUUUCCUGGCUUUUGCUUGUGAAUCUAUGAAUUUUAAAUAGCCACAUAGUUAAAGUUAUAGAGUAGGUUGGCUUUAAUAAAUAGUUAUAAUGUUCAACGUCUUCUCAGAAAGUGAUGCCAUUUGCAUGUUGAUUGCAGAUUCUAAAACCAUGAUCAGAGCACAGGAUGUUGCUUAUAUUGGAUUGCUAAUCUUUUAACCGUUAUAGUUUACUUCAAAAGAAAUGGGCUAUUCUGAUUUUUGUGGCAGUUUAGCUGACCCAAUGGGAGCCUUUUAUUUUUGUUUAGUUAUUUAUUAAAGAAGAGAUUUGGAUUUUCUAUUUGAAGAUGGAAUCUUCACAUGCUAAGUAGAUCACAAUCUUGCUCCGUAUACUCGUGGUUUCUAACAAGUUGUAUACUUAUAUGCAAAUAAAUUUCAGUCCUAUCAUGUAACAGAGUAUUCUCAUGGCCUGAAUGUUUGAGUCAUGCAGGAGUGGGGUACAGAUCUUGCUAAAAUGGCUACUGUUAACUCUGCAACUGUAAAGUAUACAGAGUUCUUGUUGGCAACAGCUUCCGGGAAGGUCGAAGGUGUUAAAGGUCCUGGAAAACUUGCAACCCCAUUUGAGAAAACUAAAGUUGCCGCUUACACAUUGGGUGCCAUGUCACCUUGUAUGAGGCUCUAUGCUUUCCUUGGAAAGGAAUUCCAUGGCCUCCUAAAUGCUAAUGAAGGCAAUCAUCCUUACAAGAAGUGGAUUGACAAUUAUUCUUCUGAAAGUUUUCAGGUACAUGUUUAUUUGAGUGGUAAACUCAUUUUUCUUGAAUGGUAAAUUUGAUUUUACUUUGUUAAUUGCAGUUUUUGGGGAAGAUUCUUUACAUAAAUGGCCUUUUCUACUUUGUCUGCUCAACUAUUGUAUUCUUUCAAUUUAGGCCUCAGCUCUGCAAAAUGAGGACUUGCUGGAUAAACUUAGUGUCUCUUUGACAGGCGAAGAACUAGACAUAAUAGAAAAGCUCUAUCACCAAGCCAUGAAACUUGAAGUAGAGUUCUUCUGUGCUCAGCCACUUGCUCAGCCCACUGUAGUUCCUCUGAUUAAAGGGCAUAAUCCUGCAGGAGACCGUCUAAUUAUAUUUUCUGAUUUCGAUUUGACUUGCACCAUUGUUGAUUCCUCUGCCAUUUUGGCAGAGAUCGCAAUAGUGACAGCACCAAAAUCUGACCAGAAUCAACCUGAAAAUCAACUUGGUCGGAUGUCAUCAGGUGAGCUGAGGAACACAUGGGGUCUUCUUUCCAAACAGUACACAGAGGAGUACGAACAAUGCAUUGAAAGCUUCAUGCCCUCUGAGAAAGGUAUCUUGCUUGAUAAUUUAUUGGAAAGUCUUUGUGGAAGAAAUUGGAUGAUGUUAAUGGCUUUAAUAUAUUUGGCUUCAACUUUCUGGGUUUUCAGUGGAGAAUUUCAACUAUGAAACUUUGCAUAAAGCACUUGAGCAACUCUCACACUUUGAGAAGAGGGCAAAUUCUAGAGUGAUCGAAUCUGGAGUUCUCAAGGGUAUAAAUCUUGAAGAUAUUAAAAAAGCUGGUGAACGCCUGAGUCUUCAAGAUGGUUGCACUACCUUCUUUCAGAAAGUUGUAAAGAAUGAAAAUUUGAAUGCUAAUGUCCAUGUGCUUUCAUACUGUUGGUGUGGUGAUCUCAUCAGAGCAUCUUUUUCUUCAGGUAUCCAUAUUCAAUUGUGGAAAACUGAGGUCAUGAAACAUACAAUGACCCAUUAUUUCGAUAUAUUAGCAUGAUAAUUGAUUAACUUGCUUUUCCUUUUGAACCUUACUCAUUCCUGCUGAAAUAUCCUUGUUUUAGUUGUCCUAGUUUAUUAAUAGCUUUAUUUGUUUGGUAGAUAUAAACAUACUGACUUUGCUUUUGGGUUUUUUUUUUUGNNNNNNNNNNNNNNNNNNNNNNNNNNNNNNNNNNNNNNNNNNNNNNNNNNNNNNNNNNNNNNNNNNNNNNNNNNNNNNNNNNNNNNNNNNNNNNNNNNNNNNNNNNNNNNNNNNNNNNNNNNNNNNNNNNNNNNNNNNNNNNNNNNNNNNNNNNNNNNNNNNNNNNNNNNNNNNNNNNNNNNNNNNGCUGUACCGUACAUCCGCCUUGGCCGUACAGCAGAUGGUGGGGGCUGUGGGUUUGGGGUUUGGUUGUACCGUAUUGUUUUUUUAGCCCAAUAUUUUAUUUCUUUACUCUUCCAUGUGGGAAUUUUUUUUCCUAUUACAUGCAAAAAAGCUAUGGUCUGAUACUUUCCCUGGUUAUAGACGCAUGCUCCCUCUUGUUUUUUGGCCCAUUAUUUUGUUUCUUUAGUCUUCUAUGUGGGAAUUUUUUUCCUCCCUUAUGUGCAAUAAACCUAUAGUUUGAUACUUCCUCUGGUUAUAGACACACACAUGUUGCAUACGUGCACACAUAUCCUACUCACACAAAAACUAUGCAAUCUUAUUGGAGAAACUCUUUACUUAUUUCUUUCUUUGGUUAAAAGCAGCUUGAUAAAUUUUUUAGCCUCAAAAGUAAACUGUCCGGGUUAGCAGUCCAUUUGUAGGAUUCAACAUCAUUUGUCAUUUUGUCCAUGUUCCAUUUUCCUGGUCAAAGUAUUUGCAAAAUAUCUUUCCCAUGUAAUGAUGCCAGUGUUAAUUAGUCAACUUCUUUUGUUGUUAGCUGAGUCUGUCUGCUCUUUCUAAGUUGAAUUCUGCAGCUUAUUGAUUAAUUUCUUUCUGUUUAUCUGGGUCGUCGUCAUUUUCUCUUCUCUUUUUCUUUUCCCUUAUUAAAUCAGGUGUAUCUUGAAGGUUUUUCUUUUGAAUUAACAACAUAUAUCUCUCUUUUUAAAAAGAAGUUAACAUAACAUCAUGACUAUUGCUGUCAAAGGCUGAUAAAACACACUUCAUUUUCUUUAUUAACUUGUCUACAAUAUCUUUGUUUUCACUGAGCAGCAGGUUUAAAUGCACUGAAUGUACAUGCGAAUGAGUUCUCAUUCAAAGAAUCUAUUUCAACGGGUGAAAUUAUUGAGAAAGUGGAGUCCCCCAUUGACAAAGUUCAAGCUUUCAACAAUACUUUAGAGAAAUACGGAACUGACAGAAAGAACUUGAGUGUUUACAUUGGAGACUCUGUGGGUGACUUGCUUUGUCUGCUUGAGGCUGAUAUAGGCAUUGUAAUCGGGUCUAGCUCAAGCUUAAGGAGAGUGGGAUCUCAAUUUGGUGUUACAUUUAUCCCGUUGUACCCUGGCUUGGUUAAGAAACAGAAGGAGUACACUGAAGGAAGCUCUUCUAACUGGAAGGAGAAAUCUGGCAUACUUUACACAGUCUCAAGUUGGGCUGAAGUACAUGCCUUUAUCUUGGGGUGGUAGAAUUAUUAUUUUAUUAUUAUUUUUCCUCGUUCCAUCAUCUUCAUGUUAGUUAGGACAAAUGAAGGAAGCAUUAAUAUUAUAUAAUGGAUCACAAAGAUACAAGUUGGUGGCUGAUUUUAUUAGUGGCCACAUCUGCUGUCUUCCCUCUCUGUUUUUUCUACAGGGUCUUUACUUUCAGAGGCGUAAUAUUGCACUGUUAUCAGGACAAUGCUGAAAACAGGUAGUUAUCUCCAUUGAUUCUCAUUAAUCAUACGCUUUCUGCUUACCGUUGUUCUGACAGAAGUAUACUUUGUUUUUUUCCCCAACUUUUUUUUUCCAGGAUUCUUUAGCGGUUUCAAGCAGCUAUGAAUUGUAAGAGGGAGUUCUAUUAAAUCUGUCCAUAUAAUUGUCAGAUCAAGUGAUGUAUUUGUACUUUUAAUAGGCUAUUGAUGUUUGAUACUUGGCUGGAAUUGCAAUUUUGAGAAGAAAAAAGAAAAAAAGAAAUGGAUCUUUAGUUGGAUCCAUGAAAGCUCUAGGCUGCUGCCGGCUAUAAUGUUUGAUCAGGCAGCUCCCUGUAAUGGAUAAAUUGGAUUCACCCUUUUUUCCAAUGAUUGAUUUGAUUAUUCUAUAAAUUUGCCGCCAAUCCCUUUCCACUAAAUAUGCCAAGUGUAUUUAUUCAUGUUUGUUUUUGUAUUAAGAUUGAGGAUCUACCUAAUACCCACCUAUGCAUGCAUCUAAAAUUAUUCAGUUCAGUAAUCUGAAUCAGUCCGAAGACUGAGAUUUGACAGGGCAAAACUUGGCGGGAAGUACAAGCGAAUAAAUCCGGACAGCAUUGUACAUAAAGAUACAAGAUUUUUAGAAGUUCAAAAGUUCAAUAGAGAAGAUAUUUAUCUUCUAUUGCUUAUUUUCAAACUUAAAAGUCAUAGUAGAUAAAAGGUUCAAAACUUCAGGAGAGUAGAUUUUUAUCCUUUAUUUUCUUAUCUUAAACUUAAAAUUAUGGUAGUUAAAGAGCUUGGUAAAGUUAUAUUGUACCUUUUAUGUCCCGUUCUUACUUGAUAGCUGUGGAUUAAAAAUCACAUAUAAACAAAAUAGCUUAACAAAAUGUAACAUCCGCCUAAAGAAUGAAGAUUGAAGCGUGUAUCAAAUUUGAUAAUACCUUAUAAAAUCCAUUCGUAAAAGUAUUUUCAACAUUUGUUUAUUGUCCAUCGUACUUGAACUCGAAUUGGAAAACUUUUAAUGAAUGCUGAAAAUGAGAAGCCAAAUUUGACUACUCAAACAAAGAAAACCUUCACUGUCUUUCCCACAUUAUGUCAUUAUUAUAAGUGUGUGUGUGUGUGUAUAAUUUUUUUUUUUAAAAUCAAUAAUAGUAAUAAUAAUAAUAGGGAUGGCAAUGGGGAGGGGAGGGGAGGGGACCAAUCUCCCCAUACCCAUCCCCGAUGUUUUGCAUAUGUCCCCGUCCCCUCCCCGUCCCCGUCAAAAUUGCUUGAGAGAAUCCCCAUCCCCUCCCCGAAUAAUAACAGGGGAUCCCCGAGGGUCCCCGGUCCCCGAAUAAUUAAUAGUCUAAUACAUUUUUUAUUUUCGAUUUUAAAUUAAUCAUAUUAAAAUAAACUCAUACCGCUAUUGUAAGCUCGUAACCAACUUUGACAGCACAUUAAGGCCUCCAAUGUGCUUGGAUGAAGUUUGUUAUGGUAUGAGCUCACAACUCUACCACUAGUGUUAAAAGCUGAUUCAGAAGCAACUGUUGUAAUUGGAAUUGCCAAAAUAUCUCUAGCAAUUCGAGCUAAUGUAGGAUACCUAUUAGCAUUUGUCUUCCACCAACUCAAAAUAUUAAAAUCUUCCAUCCGAGAUAUAACUUUCUCAUCCAAAUAGGAAUCUAAUUCAUCUGCAACAACUGCACAAUCUCCAUUGUUUACAUAAUCAUUAAAACCUGUCAUCCAUUUGGUUGCUUUCUUAUAAGAAUCCCCUGUAGAUCUAGUAGAAGAACUACUACCAGUAUAAUCAAAGCAAUAAACAGUUGAUGAAAACUUCAAUUAAUACUCUUCAACUAAUUCCCGGCAAAGGGUGACCACUUUCCCAACAUACAACUAUUUUGAUAUUUAUUAUUUUUAACAAUAUUUAUAAUUUUGUUAUUUAUUUAUUAGUAAUUUUAAAAAUAAAAAUAAAAUUAAAAAUUAAAAUGGGGAAAUGGGUAGGGCUGCUGUACCGUACAUCCGCCUUGGCCGUACAGCAGAUUUAUUGAGAAAAAAAAAGAAUUUUCAAUUAAGGAGAUACAAUCAUUUUAAAAUAAAACUCUCAAACAUAAUUAAAUAACAUCUAACUUUCUACUGAAAUUUAAAAUUUAAGGAUAACUUAAUGAAUAAAUAAUAAAAACCCUAAAUAAUGUAUAAAAUAUACUUGGGACAAAAUUUAAAAAAAAAAAAAGAACAUAGAUUUCACAAGCCACUGCAGUGUUUUUCUUUUACCUUAUUCCUGACUUUAAUAUGGUCAAAAUAAAUAAAUAAACAAUCAAUUAAUAUUGUUGUUUUACUAAAAAUAAACAUAAACUUCUUCAUUUACUUAAAGAAUAUAUACUGUUUGAAUGUCCUAAAUAAAAAUUUAGAACUUUAAUUAGUUAAUUAAGCCUAAAAGUUUAAUAAUAUAAAUAUUUUGAUAUUUGUUAUUUUUACCAAUACUUAUAAUUUUAUAAUUCAAAUUUUAUAAUUUAUUUAUUAGUAAUUUUAAAAAAUAAAAAUAAAAUUAAAAAUUAAAAUGGGGAAAUGGGUAGGGGAUGGGGAUUCUACCUCAUCCCCGUCCCCUCCCCGAAUAAAAAGUUGGGUAAAAAAUUUUCCCCGUCCCCUCCCCAAAAAAAAAAUUGGGUAUAAAAUUAUCCUCGUACCCUCCCCGAAUGGGGAAAAUCCCCGAGGGUACCCAUCCCCGUGGGGAUUUUUGCCAUCCCUAAAUAAUAAUAACAACAACCGUUUUCUGCUUUCUUGAAACUUUUAUGAUUAUGAUGCUUAGCUGGAGGGAAAAAGCACUUUUGGAUUUUUGGCUUCCAACAAAAUUAGAUAUAAAAUUAAUUUUUUUUUUUCUAAGUGUUAGGUGUCUAGGAAAAUCUUGUUUGGUGGUAGCCAUGAUCUGGUGGGGGACCUAUGUCGACUUGUAUGAGAAUCGUGUUUUUCAAUAGUUUCUUUUUUUUUUGUAUGAGAAUCGUGUUUUUCAAUAGUUUCUUUUUUUUUUUUUCUUUUUUUGGAGUAAAUUAUUAUUACAAUCAAUGAUGUGAUUGAUUAUUCAAAUAAUUAUGAGCACUCAGAUAAUUUUUUUUCUUUUUUGUAUUUUUUUUUUAAUUUUUGCAAAUGGGGUUUUGCUUUUUGAUGUCAAUAUGUUUGCACACGCGUCACACUAAACAGCCAGUGUAUAAAUUAUAGCAGGACUAGAAUUCAGAAUUAAGAAAUCCUUUAAUUUUUGUACCCAAAGGCAUCAUGAGUUAGAUGAUACAUUCAUUAAUAUUGACUCCUAGCAGUAAUGCUGUUUGUACAUUUGGUUGAUCUAAUGAUUAUCUCAAUUCACUCUCUACAAUGUGUGAAUUGGCAAUAUAACAAUUUUGAAUGGGAUUUAAUCAUCAAAAAUAAUAAAAAUACAGUUGAAAUUACUUUGGUAUGAUCAAAAAUAUCAGUCAACUAAAAACAUACUUGAGAUUAGUACAAGAAACGUUUUAUUUUGUUGACAAUUUAACAACACAACAUACUUCAGCCUUAAAAAUUAAAAAAAAAAAAUCGAAACUCUAAAGUAAUUAAUUUUAAUUUAUGCUUAAAUGUCCAAGAAAAACCGACCACUAUGUUUUUUUUUAUUUUUUUUUUCACAAAAUUGAUUUGGGACGGGGAAAAUUGAAUGAUGACCUUGACACAUUGGUAAACUUAACUAGUCAGAUUAGCACUGGGACUGUGGGACAUGCGAAUCAAACCUAAAUUAUAAAAAGAAUCUGCACUUAAUUACAAAAAUUUAAAUCAAUCUAAAUUAGCCAUCCAAUCAGUGUAAUAUUGACUUGCAAGCUUGAUUCGAACUCACUAUCUUCAUCCACUAGACCUUCCCCACUUUCUGUUUCUUGCAAUAACAUUUUUUUUAAUUGUUUGUUUUCCCAUGUUGCCAUGUUAUAAUUAAAAAAAAAAACCCAAAAGUAAUUCAUCAGAUUUUGGGCUUUCUGACUAAUUAAUCUCUUUUUUUUUUUUUUAAUUGUAAGUGCAAAAGCUUUAUCUUUACUUUCUUUUCUUUUAAUUGGGAAUUCACGUGUGGGUUUAUUUUAUUUGCAAUAAGCCUCCCAUUUUGGACUACAAUUGGGAGGUUGACACUUUUUUCCCUAUAUUUUUUAAUUUUAUCAUUCACCUUCAAAAGCUUUUUUGUAAUAUUCCUUCACUAUUUUGAUGUCAAAAUUAUAUUUAUAUUGAAUUAAUAAUGACUAGUUCAAUUGGUGGAUUUUGAAGUGAUACAAAAGAUUUAUGGUUGGAAUACUGGCCUUUUGAUAUUAGAUUCAUAAAAAUGUAACACUUGGUAAAACUACAACGUGAUAACAACUUGUUAAAAUUACAACAUGAUGACAAGCGACAACAAUUAAUCAAAAUUAAAUUCAAGCGUAAUUCUCAUAAUUUAUUUCAACUGCUUAACUACAAGUGACAGUAAUCUCUUUUUCCCAUCAACUGAAGCAAUCUAGCAUUCAUUAUUCAAUGUCCUUGGAAAGUUCAUAUGUAGAGCUUUCUUCUUCUUUUUCUUGUCCCUAUCUUUUUCUUUUAUUCGGUUAUACCUUUUCAAAGUUUGAUUCUAAUCUUACGUUUUCACUCGAAAUUAUAUAACCAACCAGUUAAAUUACAAAUUGAAAAGAAAAUUUAGGAAAUCGACGUAAUUGAUAACUACAUAUGAACAAACGAGUUAAUACGCGUUAAAUUAUGCGUCAGAUAUUACGUAAUUAACUCGUUAAAUCACAGAUCAAAAACGAAGAAAAAAAGUUAACAGCAAACCUAAUCGAUCAUCUACAUAUAACAGAUAAGUCAUCAAGACGGAGUAAGGUUGCGUCAGUACUCACUCACGAUCUUCAACCACGUGUCGUGUUAAUAAAUCACAUACUCUAAAUUAAUAACCUACGAUCAUCACUUUUCUUUUCAUUAAUACAAUUUAUUUAUUUCAUUAAUUAAUUUAUUUGCUAAAUGGUCCCUACUAUAAGAUGGUUCAUCUUAGAUUCCCACUAUAUUUUCUUCAUUAGAUAUUAAUUCUUUCACUAACAUAUAACACAUAACAUUAAAAAAAAACAUGUGAAGUAGGCCCUUAAUGCUUGUACGUACACUAUAUAAUAAUAAUUAUUUUUUAUAUAACCCCUUUGUAUCAUCCGCUAACAAAACCACAAGAACUAAGCAAAUGUAAAAGCUCAUUACGUUAUUUAUAUAAAUCUAUAUGUGACCAGCAACUCAUUAUUCAUUUCUCACCUUCUUCCUCUCUUCUUCUUUUUCUUCUGGUUUCGAAUUCUUAACUCUUCCCUUUGUUUUAUGGGUGUUUUCGCAAAUUCUUGAAGUUGAAGGGAGAGGAGAUGAUGAUGGCAAAUUCAGAAACUGGAGGAAGAACUGAAGGCCAAGUACAAGUUUUAAUCAAGAAUUUGUCUUGGGAUCCAUGGCCUAAACAAUAUUAUUUGAUGUUGCAACCAUAACUAUGAGGAAGGGUUAACCUCUAGGCAAGUCUAAUGCUUGGCUUUUUUUUUAAAUUAUCCUCCAUUUUCUUUGUUUCCUAUUUUUCUCUUUCCUUUUGUUUCUUAGAUUUAAUUUUCUAGUUUGUUUGUGUGCCAACAAGAAAAUGGAGGAUAAUAUGAAUAACGUAUAGGAAAUCUUGAAUUAAUCUUUUAUCAAAAGAUUUUCAGGGUUUCUCUUUCUUUAAUUGUUGCCAUAUUACUGUCUUUUGUGGGCAGCAAUAACCAUGCAUAAUUAAACAAAUUAAUUUUCUUUUUGUCUGUUUUUGUUCUUGUGAUUGCUUCUCAUAUAUUGCAACCACAGAAUAUCUCUGUAAAACACAAAUUAGCUCGUGUUUUUAAUUCCUUCCUUGUUCAUUUAAUAUUCAUUAUGAUUGAAUCUGUAGAAUUUUCAAAAGAUAGUAUGGAUUCUUUAUUAUUCAAGAGAUAUAUAUCUGCAGCUUCAUUUCUUUAUAUAAGUCUCACAUAUAUAUAUAUACACACACACACACACACACACAAAAGAAUUGCAUAGACUUUAAUUAACAACAAAUGCAAGGUGCUUAGGCUUUCUGUUAAUUCAUAUUUGAAGAAUAAGAACAGUGAAAAAUGCAGGUUCUGAAAUC
rnacentral:lncRNA from 1 species